AGUUAAUAUAAACAUUUAUGUUGAAUAAUAGAAUUUUUGAAAUAGGAACAAUAGCCCCUAUGUAGGUCCAUGAUCCCCCUUGAAGGUGACAUUUAAGUAGAUAAUCGUUGAGGUUAAGACUCUAGACUAAUAACAGAACUGUAAUAUGUGGAUUGCGAUCCACGACCGAAUGUUGCUUUUAGAAUGAAUAAUUGUUUAAGACCAAGACUUCGGAGUAGAAAUAUGGUGCCCUAUGCAAGUUGUGUACCUGGUAAUUGUUUGAGCUCGCUACUUCGCACUGGAAAUGGAGUGCACCAUUCGGUCAAGUACCAAGUCGAAGGUGACUUUGAAACAUAACUAUCUCGCGUACCAAGGCAUCUCGUAAGGCAAGGCACAAUUAAUACAAUCAUCUCGUCAGAUGAAGGAUUUUGUAAAGUGAAGUAUAUGUACAACAAUCAUUUUGAGACUCGAAUUAUAUCGAGAAGAGAUAAAUGAGUGGAUCAAUCAUAUCUUGUGCAGCAAACAACUUACAAAGUGAGUAAUUAGUAAACUAAUCAUCUUGUGGGGCGAGGCACGGAGCAAAACAAUGAAUAAGUGAAACAAUCAUCUCAUGAGAUGAGGCAUUCCAUGAAGUGAGGAAUGAGCGAAACAAUCAUCUUGCGAGACAGGAUACAAGUAGACAAUCAUCAUGCUCGUGUGGCAAGGUAGAAAUGAUACAAUUCUCUCGCGCGCUGUAGCAUCUUAAAUUGCGAGGCAUAUACAUUGCAAUAAUCUUGUAAUAUAAAAUAAUCAUGAGCUAGAGCCUGCCUUAAUACGAAAAUCACAAGUCAAGAUUCCUCUUCGAUAAUUGGAGAUCUUAUGAAC
rnacentral:lncRNA from 1 species